rnacentral:rRNA from 1 species
UACAGAGGGUGCAAGCGUUAAUCGGAAUUACUGGGCGUAAAGCGUGCGUAGACGGUUAUGUAAGUCAGAUGUGAAAGCCCCGGGCUUAACCUGGGAAUGGCAUUUGAGACUGCAUAGCUAGGGUGCGGAAGAGGGAAGCGGAAUUCCAGGUGUAGCGGUGAAAUGCGUAGAUAUCUGGAGGAACACCAGUGGCGAAAGCGCGUGACUGGGCCACAACUGACGCUGAGGAACGAAAGCCAGGGGAGCGAAAGGG